rnacentral:rRNA from 1 species
GAAACAGUUGCUAAGACUGGAUAGGAAAUUAAAAGGCAUCUUUUAAUUUUUAAAAGACCUUUUUCGGAAGGUAUGCUUAAAGAGGGGCUUGCGCCACAUUAGUUAGUUGGUAAGGUAAAGGCUUACCAAGACGAUGAUGUGUAGCUGGACUGAGAGGUUGAACAGCCACAUUGGGACUGAGACACGGCCCAAACUCCUACGGGAGGCAGCAGUAAGGAAUUUUUGGCAAUGGAGGAAACUCUGACCGAGCGACGCCGCGUGAACAAUGAAGUACUUCGGUAUGUAAAGUUCUUUUAUUGAAAAAGAAAAAAUAGUGGAAAAACUAUCUUGACAUUAUUCAAUGAAUAAGCCCCGGCUAAUUAUGUGCCAGCAGCCGCGGUAAUACAUAAGGGGCGAGCGUUAUCCGGAAUUAUUGGGCGUAAAGGGUGCGUAGGCGGUUUGAUAAGUCUAUAGUUUAAUUGCAGUGCUUAACGCUGUACCGCUAUAGAAACUGUCUGACUAGAGUUAGAUAGAGGCAAGCGGAAUUCCAUGUGUAGCGGUAAAAUGCGUAAAUAUAUGGAGGAACACCAGAGGCGUAGGCGGCUUGCUGGGUCUUAACUGACGCUGAGGCACGAAAGCGUGGGGAGCAAACAGGAUUAGAUACCCUGGUAGUCCACGCCGUAAACGAUGAGUACUAAGUGUCGGGUUUUGGCUCGGUACUGAAGUUAACACAUUAAGUACUCCGCCUGAGUAGUACGUACGCAAGUAUGAAACUUAAAGGAAUUGACGGGACCCCGCACAAGCGGUGGAUCAUGUUGUUUAAUUCGAAGAUACACGAAAAACCUUACCAGGUCUUGACAUAAUUUUGCGACAUUAUAGAAAUAUAAUGAAGGUUAUCAGAAUUACAGGUGGUGCAUGGUUGUCGUCAGCUCGUGUCGUGAGAUGUUAGGUUAAGUCCUAAAACGAGCGCAACCCUUGUCGUUAGUUGCGACCACAUAAUGGUGAGCACUUUAGCGAGACUGCCAAUGAAAAAUUGGAGGAAGGUGAGGAUUACGUCAAAUCAUCAUGCCCCUUAUGAUCUGGGCUACAAACGUGAUACAAUGGCUUUUACAAAGAGUAGCUACAACGUGAGUUUUUAGCCAAUCUCAAAAAAACAGUCUCAGUUCGGAUUGAAGUCUGCAACUCGACUUCAUGAAGUUGGAAUCGCUAGUAAUCGCGAAUCAGCAUGUCGCGGUGAAUACGUUCUCGGGGUUUGUACACACCGCCCGUCA